rnacentral:tRNA from 2 species
GUGGUAGUAGUGUUCAACGGUCAGCACGAGGCAUUGCCAAUGCUUUAGUGGGGGUUCGAAUCCCCCUUACCGCAC